UGGGGAAUAUUGGGCAAUGGAGGGAACUCUGACCCAGCCAUGCCGCGUGCAGGAUGAAGGCGUUAUGCGUUGUAAACUGCUUUUAUAUAGGAAGAAAUAGUCCUUGCGAGGAAAGUUGACGGUACUAUAUGAAUAAGCACCGGCUAACUCCGUGCCAGCAGCCGCGGUAAUACGGAGGGUGCAAGCGUUGUCCGGAUUUAUUGGGUUUAAAGGUGCGUAGGCGGUUUAUUAAGUCAGUGGUGAAAGACGGUCGCUCAACGAUUGCAGUGCCAUUGAUACUGGUAGACUUGAGUAUGAUUGAGGUAGCUGGAAUGGAUAGUGUAGCGGUGAAAUGCAUAGAUAUUAUCCAGAACACCAAUUGCGUAGGCAAGUUACUAAGUCAUAACUGACGCUGAGGCACGAAAGUGUGGGUAUCAAACAGGAUUAGAUACCCUUGUAGUCCCUGAGCGGGCUGGCAAGGCGCAU
rnacentral:rRNA from 1 species